CGGUCUCCGGAACGCCGGCCGGAAGUAAGCCGCUAGCAAAACUGCGAGCUGAUGAACAAGAACAUCAUAUGAGGCUUAGGCCGGAGGCGAGUUGGCACCAGACGACGAAGCCGCGUGAUCUAACGGCCACCGUAAAUGAUGCAGUUGUGCAGUGACAGUGCAUGUU
rnacentral:ncRNA from 1 species